UACGUAGGGUGCAAGCGUUGUCCGGAAUUAUUGGGCGUAAAGAGCUCGUAGGCGGUCUGUCGCGUCGGAUGUGAAAAACUCGGGGCUCAACCCCGGGCCUGCAUUCGAUACGGGCAGACUAGAGUACGGCAGGGGAGACUGGAAUUCCUGGUGUAGCGGUGAAAUGCGCAGAUAUCAGGAGGAACACCGGUGGCGAAAGCGGCGCACUGGACCACAACUGACGCUGAGGCGCGAAAGCUAGGGGAGCAAACAGG
rnacentral:rRNA from 1 species